UAUGGUUGAACGUGCUCCAUGGUUACCAACGCAAUGACGCUUUUCCGUAUCCAAGACAUCUCUAGAGCUGAAGAGGCGAGCUAGCUGAUAUUUUUUCAGAUAUCACCAUCAAUAAACAUAGCUAGUUUAAAGCGUAGUGUAACUGCUCGUUUGUCUAGCCAGUUAACAUAAUACUUAGCAGUAAAAGAGUAGGGUGUUUGGCGUCAACAAUGGCUGAGUUUGGUUUCAAUGAACACCAUCAGAAUGAGGCCAUCAACUACAUGCGCUUUGCACGCUCCAAGAGGAUCAUCAGACUCAAGACCAUUGACUCCUGCUUCGAGGACCUUAAAGACAGCAGGCUAGUGGAGGAGACAUUCACAGUGGACGAGGUGCGGGACAUGCUGGACGGGCUGCAGCUGGUUGUGCGAGGGGAGGUCGAGACAGAGCUCAUCAACACGGCCCACACCAACGUGCUGCUGCUUCGGCAGCUCUUCUCCCAGGCUGAAAAGUUCUACCUCCGUCUGCAGACUGACAUAUCGGAGCUGGAGAACAGAGAGUUGUUAGAGCAAGUGGCUGAGUUUGAGAAUACUGAGUUUAAAACCCCAAAUAAGACUAACCAAGAAAUUAGCAAGCCCAAGUUAGCACCGCUGAAUGAAGGUGGGGUAUCUGAACUUCUCAACAAGGAGAUAUCAAGGCUACAAGAGGAAAAUAAUAAGCUCAAAGGCAGGCUCCGGACUUUGGAAACCCAGGCCAUGGGUGCGUUGGAUGAGAAGACCAGGGCGGAGAGGGCUCUCAAAGACUUGCAGAAGGUCAAGGGGGAACAGCAAAUGACCACCCGUUCUCAGGAGAUCACUAGUCUGGAGGACACGGUGGCAGCACUGCAGGAAGACUACCAGAAGUCCCUGAGUGUCAACGCUGCCUCCCAAAGAGACCUGCAGGACAACCUGGUGUCUGCCAAACAUGACCUGCUCAGGGUACAGGAACAACUGUCCCUGGCAGAGAAGUUUUGUGUGUGUAGGAGCUGGACCGGAAGUUCCAACAGACUUCUGCCUACCGCAACAUGAAGGAGAUCCUCACCAAGAAAAAUGAGCAGAUCAAGGACAUCAGGAAACGGCUUUCAAAAUACGAGUCUGAUGAAUGAACCCUUUGCAUCACACAACAAGACACAAAAUGGAGGUUAAAAUACACGACGAGGGUAGAAAUGGCCCAAAACCUGGGACUGUCACUCUGGAGAAGGUUUUUGCCCAUUUAUCAUUUAUUCUACCCCACUGCAGGAGGAGGUGCUUUGAACAAAAAAUGUAAUUGAGAAUAUCACCUGUAGUUCAAAACCUUUCAGAAGAAUCGUAUCAUCUCGCUGAUCCAGCAGAUUUUGUAGUCAUUGGCUUUAGGAGAUGAUUGCGGGGUAUUAAGGGUUGGGGGCUAAUCGACAGAGCCUCCUAUGGUCAGUCUCACUGGGAGAAGAACCUUGAAUGUCUCUGUCCCUCUGCUACUCCGCGCUGUCCCAUAUCUAGGAGCUGGAGCUUUGUGUGUUUAGUAGUAGGUUUUCCUCAUUGCACUAUGCAAGUACUUUCACGUCCUUGACUUGCUGUCUAAAAAAGGAGGCCUUCUGAAUAGGAGAGAUAUGCUUGAAGCUUUGGUGCUGUCUAUAUCUGAUGGUGAUGGGUACAUUUUCCCAUGACACCAAUAUAAACUAUUGUGUCUCCUCGACUGUAUAAUCUUUUUCACCUAUUUCUAUGUAGCUGGGGUAUCAUGCAACAUCUGUUUAUAUGUAUUCAGCCGGCGGAAUUCGGAGCUCCAAGUUUUAAUGAUAGUGAAUAGUCAUGGCUAAUGGUACAUAUUAUGAAUCGCAGCAUAGCAUAACAUUCCAAAAUAUCUUGAGGGGAAGGUUUUGAGGGAAACGUUUACAUACAGUAGUAUGAUUUGACAUGUUUUCUUAUUUUUCUUACAAUUUUUAUCCUGUUUAGCAUAUAAAUAAUGCUUGGAAAGAUCAGAGGUUGGACCUAAGCAAAUGUAUAAAUACGUCUCUACACAUAUAGAAUAUUUUUAUGGGAACAGUGAACUUUUUUGUCCUUAACCCUGAUAAUAGCCUGGUAUCAAGGCAUAUAUUGUAAUCCGUCUGGUACCAGGCCAGAGGCAAAUGUGUGUAAUAUGACAAAAAUUCUAUGUUGCUGUCUUUGACGUAAUGCUCUUGUAGAGUACGAUACACGACCACCUAUGUCAUAUUAGACGUGUAUGUGUGAUAUGUUUGAAUUGUUGUGCGGUAAUAAAAGCUGUUACCAAAA